UACGAAGGGGGCUAGCGUUGCUCGGAAUUACUGGGCGUAAAGCGCACGUAGGCGGCUUUCUAAGUCGGGGGUGAAAGCCUGUGGCUCAACCACAGAAUUGCCUUCGAUACUGCAUGGCUUGAGACCGGAAGAGGUAAGUGGAACUGCGAGUGUAGAGGUGAAAUUCGUAGAUAUUCGCAAGAACACCAGUGGCGAAGGCGGCUUACUGGUCCGGUUCUGACGCUGAGGCGCGAAAGCGUGGGGAGCAAACAGG
rnacentral:rRNA from 1 species